ACCACCUUUGCAACAGUUUGAGAACUGUUGAUUGUAAGGCACACCUGGCAAGAGAUCAACGACCGUGGGGGUUUUCUUACAGCAAUGAGCCUAAUGUCCAACCCGGGUUUUGUAUGUGCCGGUAUAUUUGGAAGUUGUUCAUAGUUACCGUUGCCUGCAAACGCAUAUAAUGUAUAGAGAUGAUGUGAGUUUGUGCAAUGUGCAAGUUUCAAAUGCGCAAACACGUAUUCACAAGUCCGGGAAGCAUUCGUACCACAUAGCCAUCUGCUGUCCAGGACAUGAUAUCCCAUUUGAUUGUAACGUUCCCACUAGGAUCCAAUGGAUCAUAAGCAGCUGGAAAACGAAAUCACACGAAUUAAGAAGAAUGAGUUAAGGUUUUGCAAAAUAGCUGGCGAAAAUGAAUAUUCAGAACUCACUUGCGCAAAAGAUGAUCAUGAAGAAGAAGCAGAAGCAGAAGAAGAGCCUCAUCUUUUGUACUUUAACCUCCAGUUUCUUCUUCUUCAGAAUUUGAAAUUGAUGUGCUUAUGGAUUUAAACAGAAGCUUUUCAAAGAUUAUUGAUGAGUCUUUUUGGUCUGAAGAUGGACUUUACCUA